rnacentral:rRNA from 1 species
UACGAAGGGGGCUAGCGUUGCUCGGAAUCACUGGGCGUAAAGGGUGCGUAGGCGGGUCUUUAAGUCAGGGGUGAAAUCCUGGAGCUCAACUCCAGAACUGCCUUUGAUACUGAAGAUCUUGAGUUCGGGAGAGGUGAGUGGAACUGCGAGUGUAGAGGUGAAAUUCGUAGAUAUUCGCAAGAACACCAGUGGCGAAGGCGGCUCACUGGCCCGAUACUGACGCUGAGGUGCGAAAGCGUGGGGAGCGAACAGG